rnacentral:lncRNA from 1 species
GUUCCAUGCUAUGAACCCAGGCAGGUCUAUCACAAGAUCCUACACUAUAAAAUACUGCUUGCACAUAAAAGCUCACUGUUACAUGGAUGAAAUUUUUAAAAAGAGAGAUUAUUCACUCUUUGAUCAGCAAGACUAGGAAGCUGGGUGAUGUCCAGGGGGCGGAGCAUCUGGGGGAAGCUGUGUUUUGGUACCUCAUGUAGAUAAGAUGAUUGACUCCUCUUUUCCUAACAGAAUUCAGAAUUUGUUCAAGUGGCCACCUGCCUCCAGCUGCAGAAUGGAAUCCAAGUCUUUAAGGACAUGGAAAACCCGAAAAUGGCCUUCGUUAGUCAAGAAACCUACACUCUUCGAUUCUAAAUCUCGUCUUCUGAAGCCCAGCUAUGAGGACAGCUGUCAUGGUCCCCUUCUUUAAGCAGAACUUGACUUGUAAUAAAGGGAAAACCAGUCCUUUUUUUUUUUGAUGA